CGCACGGCGAGCUAAGCUAUAAUAUAUAUUACAGAUUUAUUCGCGCUGCAUAUCCCGAACGUAUCCUGAUUUUUCCCAGGAUAUAAGUUUUGUUGGUAGAGACAUUGACCCAAAUUUACUAUGUAUGUCUUUGUACUCACUAAUAAUGCUCAAAAAAUUACGGGAUCUGGAUUGUAAUGCAUUUUUUUUAUAAUUCUCAUAUCAUAGUUGCGCGUGAAGUUAGGCGUAUUGAUGACAGUUGAUUUUCAGUUCACCAACGGCAGGCGAGUAUUUGCGAAUAUCCUAUGUAUAUCUCGAAUAUGCCUACCCGAGCGAUAUGGGAGCGAUAUAUUUUUGCAAAUAUUUUGACGCGAUGGCAGCGCCAUGUGGUAGAAUGAAGAAAUAUUAAUGAAAGCAGUCGUGUUGACGGAUGUCAUUGUCAUUUCAUCCAAGAAUGCAAGGAAAAAAAAUUUUAAUUUCAAUUUCAAUGUAUAAUUUUUAUUUUCGCCUAAUUUUUCAGGGAUCAAAAGACGCAAACAAAACAUCUUUAUACGUAUAUUCAAAGAAUAAUUUGUAUUAAGCAAACCUUAGUCAAUACAGGUGAUUCUGGAUAUGCUCUAAGUCAGUUGAUGUUGACAUCCAUCCAAAAUGCAUUACCUGCUACUCUAGAAGAAAUAUUCAUCACAGAAGAACUGAAUCCCCUAUAGAGAGAUGCAAUGGGAUUUUAAAAUGGAGGCAUAGAAUUUUACACUCCAACCAUGGCUGAAUAAAAUAAAUAAUAAUGCAUGCACUGUGCUGCACAAUUUGUGCAUUGGUAUGCAUAAUGUACCCCCUAUUGGUUUAGGUGAUGAAGAAAACAAUCAUAUAGAUAUUGAUUAUGGAAAUGUCAAUGGAAUAAAUAUAGAAGGUAGAAUUCGUGAUAGAGAUCUGCUCACAGGAAGAAGACUCCAACAAAUGCUAAUUCAAAUUAAUUUUAGAAAUUAAUUCAAUAAGUUUGGAAAAAUGUAUGUUCUGUGUUAUUUGUACUUUAUGUAAAUAUUGUUCUGAAGCUAUUUUCUUGUGGCAUUUUUAUGAUUAACUAUUUAGAUGGGAAAUAAGCCACAAUUAAAUUGAAAAAAAUAAUUUUAUUAACGUUUCGACGUCCAAAUCGGGUGUCGUUGUCAAAAUACAAAAGACUACUAAAUUAAACAAAAAUGUUGCUAAGUAAAAAAUUCUUCUAAUAAUUUAUUUAAUCUGACUCAUUUAUAUUGGCAAUUCAGACAUAUAUUAUACAUUUUAAAGUAGAAGACUUUAAAAUGAUAUUGCCAAUAUUUAUGAGUUGCGUUCCUGGGACGACUUAACUGAAAGAUAGUUCAUUCGAUUACAUGAAAUCAACCUCAACUCAAGAAUAUCCAUCACAAAAAAAAUCAUAGCAUGUGAUCUGUCUUUAAAAAGACAACCAAAUGCAAAAAAAGUGAUUUACUAUGGAAUCUCUAACGCGAGAAUUUUACUGUCAUCGUUGCAUUUGGUUUUCUUUUUAAAGACAGAUCACAUGCUAUGAUUUUUUUUUGUGACGGAUAUUCUUGAGUUGAGGUUGAUUUCAUGUAAUCGAAUGAACUAUCUUUCAGUAAAUUCGUCCCAGGAACGCAACUCAUAAAUAUUGGCAAUAUCAUUUUAAAGUCUUCUACUUUAAAAUGUAUAAUAUAUGUCUGAAUUGCCAAUAUAAAUGAGUCAAAUUAAAUAAAUUAUUAGAAGAAUUUUUUACUUAGCAACAACAUUUUUGUUUAAUUUAGUAGUAUUUUGUAUUUUGACAACGACAUCCGAGUUGGGUGUCGAAACGUUAAUAAAAUUAUUUAUUUAAUUGUGGCUUAUUUCCUAUCUAAAUAGUUAAUUAUGUAAAUAUGUAGUGUGUUAGCUGUUGUUUUAUGAACAACAUAAAACAUUGUAUGUAAACAUUGUAUGAAAAUAAAACAUGUAUGUUAUCCAUGACACAGAACAAAAGUUAAAAUGCAUGUUUUUACAUUUGUACCCUUUUAAUAACCUUAUCAUAAUAUAAUAAAAUAAAUGCAAAGAAAUUUAUGUCUCAGUAAGUUGGAACCAUGGACGUAUAAAUAAAGAUAUAUCUUUAUUUAUACGUCCAUGGUUGGAACCAUAUGAAAAACUUUUUUAUUAUCAAUUUUAGGAACAAGUUAUUCUUUAUAAAAGCUUUGCAUGAUUUGAAACCUUUAAACAACCAUCAAAUAUAAAAAAUUUUCAGUUGUAUACUAGGUUUGUCAAAAAAUAUGAAUUUUAUUAAAGAGUAAACUACCUUUCAUUUUUCACAAUAUCCAAAAUUAUUAUUAACCCUAAAACCACGAAGUGGGGUCACCUGUGACCCCACCGCUCAAAUUUUUUUGACAUGCGAGUUACUCCGAUGAUACGUAUGUUUUUAUGAAAGUUCACAUUUAGUCGUAAAUGCAGCACAUUUCUGAUUUUUGACCCCACCUGAGGAUAGAAAAGGCUGCUAUAUUUGUGUUUACUGUGCAGAACAUCAAUUUAGUAUUUGUAAAGAUUGUAAAUAAUAUAAAAAUAAACUAUUCAACUUCUAA
rnacentral:lncRNA from 1 species